UACAUUUUUUUUCUAAAAAUAAGAUAAAAACAUAUGCAACUCAUCUGCAAUAUGGAUCAUUUUGAUUUUACAAUUCAAUCUCUUAAUUUAUUUAAUUUGAAUUAGUCGACGAUACCUUGACUUUAAAAUUUAAACGAGUUGUUUAUCUUUACAGAUUUAAUUAAUAUACUUCAUGAAAUUCUCGCAAUUAUAGAUUCACUAAAUUUUGAAGUCAAACUACCGUAUACUGACUCAAAUUUAAUAAAUUGAAAGAUUAAGUAGCAAACUCAAAAUUUCUAAAAAUUGGUUAGCCAAUUUAAAAUGGUUCAUAAUUUGAAUAAAGUUCUGUCGUUUU
rnacentral:lncRNA from 1 species